GACGAACGCUGGCGGCGUGCUUAACACAUGCAAGUCGAACGAUGAACCCGGAGCUUGCUCCGGUGGAUUAGUGGCGAACGGGUGAGUAACACGUGAGUAACCUGCCCUUGACUCUGAGAUAACUGCGGGAAACUGUAGCUAAUACCGGAUACGACCCUCGGCGGCAUCGCCAGGGGGUGGGAAGAAUUUCGGUCAAGGAUGGACUCGCGGCCUAUCAGCUUGUUGGUGGGGUGAUGGCCUACCAAGGCGACGACGGGUAGCCGGCCUGAGAGGGUGACCGGCCACACUGGGACUGAGAUACGGCCCAGACUCCUACGGGAGGCAGCAGUGGGGAAAUAUUGCACAAUGGGCGCAAGCCUGAUGCAGCGACGCCGCGUGAGGGAUGACGGCCUUCGGGUUGUAAACCUCUUUCAGCAUCGACGAAGCGAAAGUGACGGUAGGUGCAGAAGAAGGACCGGCCAACUACGUGCCAGCAGCCGCAGUAA
rnacentral:rRNA from 1 species